GCGCUUAUAGCUUAGUCGGUAAAGCGAUCGUUUGAUAAGCGAUAGAUCAAUGGUUCGAGCCCAUUUAAGCGCA